GACGUACGCUGGCGGCGUGCUUAACACAUGCAAGUCGAACGGAAAGGCCCUGCUUUUGUGGGGUGCUCGAGUGGCGAACGGGUGAGUAACACGUGAGUAACCUGCCCUUGACUUUGGGAUAACUUCAGGAAACUGGGGCUAAUACCGGAUAGGAGCUCCUGCUGCAUGGUGGGGGUUGGAAAGUUUCGGCGGUUGGGGCUGGACUCGCGGCUUAUCAGCUUGUUGGUGGGGUAGUGGCUUACGAAGGCUUUGACGGAUAGCCGGCCUGAGAGGGUGACCGGCCACAUUGGGACUGAGAGACGGCGCAGACUCCUACGGGAGGCAGCAGUGGGGAAUAUGGCACAAUGGGCGGAAGCCUGAGGCAGCAACGCCGCGUGCGGGAUGACGGCCUUCGGGUUGUAAACCGCUUUCGCCUGUGACGAAGCGUGAGUGACGGUAAUGGGUAAAGAAGCACCGGCUAACUACGUG
rnacentral:rRNA from 1 species